CUCAGACCUUGUGUCUUCUGGUAGAACAUUCAAGAACUGAUGGUCAUCUCCAUGGCAACAUGAGGAUUCAAAUGAGAAAGACAUCUGGAAAUCAUGUAGAUGUUGCUUAUAGGGUGAAAGCUCCCAUUGAAGUCACUGGAGAUGCCAUUGCAACCCUGCAGCUGUCCCAGGCUGAACCCCUGGACAUUGCCUACAGCCAAACCUCUCUCUCUUGACAAUAGGCAGGGACAGCUCUACAACCAUUCUCAUCUCUGAAGAAGU
rnacentral:lncRNA from 1 species